AACUAAGUAAUGCUGUGUAAAGGUUGUCUUUUAUUUAGUUCUUUAGCUUGUCAAUCACCUCUCAGUGAAUAGCAAAGUAGCAAUCAGAUGAAAUAUUUUUUUUAAACAUGAAACGAGAAAAUUUUAUUAAAAUAAUGAAAAGAGACUAGUCCUUAUAAAGUUCCACUAAGGAAAAAAAAUAACAAUUCAAAUAAAGUUAAAA
rnacentral:misc_RNA from 1 species